AUUGCCCCAGUAACGGCGAGUGAAGCGGCAACAGCUCAAAUUUGAAAUCUGGCCCUAGGCCCGAGUUGUAAUUUGCAGAGGAUGCUUUGGGCGCGGUGCCUUCCGAGUUCCCUGGAACGGGACGCCAUAGAGGGUGAGAGCCCCGUCUGGUCGGACACCAAGCCUAUGUAAAGCUCCUUCGACGAGUCGAGUAGUUUGGGAAUGCUGCUCAAAAUGGGAGGUAUAUGUCUUCUAAAGCUAAAUACCGGCCAGAGACCGAUAGCGCACAAGUAGAGUGAUCGAAAGAUGAAAAGCACUUUGAAAAGAGAGUUAAACAGCACGUGAAAUUGUUGAAAGGGAAGCGUUCAUGACCAGACUUGGCCCGGUUGAUCAUCCAGCGUUCUCGCUGGUGCACUCUGCCGGUCCAGGCCAGCAUCAGUUCGUCGCGGGGGAUAAAGGUUUCGGGAAUGUGGCUCCUCCGGGAGUGUUAUAGCCCGUUGCGUAAUACCCUGCGGUGGACUGAGGUCCGCGCUUCUGCAAGGAUGCUGGCGUAAUGGUCAUCAACGACCCGUCUUGAAACACGGACCAAGGAGUCGUCUUCGUAUGCGAGUGUUCGGGUGUAAAACCCCUACGCGUAAUGAAAGUGAACGGAGGUGGGAGCUUCGGCGCACCAUCGACCGAUCCUGAUGUUCUCGGAUGGAUUUGAGUAAGAGCAUACGGGGCCGGACCCGAAAGAAGGUGAACUAUGCCUGUAUAGGGUGAAGCCAGAGGAAACUCUGGUGGAGGCUCGCAGCGGUUCUGACGUGCAAAUCGAUCGUCAAAUAUGGGCAUGGGCGCGAAAGACUAAU
rnacentral:rRNA from 1 species